rnacentral:ncRNA from 2 species
ACCAGUAACGGAGAUGACAUUCCUCCAUAACCGCCUUCCGGCUAAUGAUGUCUACGAGCUC